UUCAGCUCCAGCGUCGUAAUUUACCACACCUCAAUCCUCAAUUUCGAGUUUCUUUACUGUACAGUGUAAACUGUCCUUGCGAAAAUUUACACACACUGCAUGUGCCCUGGUUGUUCCUAACCUGUAUGCUAUCCAAGGAGUAAGAGCAUGUGGACACACAGUGCUUUGGAAGAGUGUCAUAGUCCACUUCGUAGAAAUCAAUGGUUUGCUCGAACCGGGAUGCAACUUUUUCAAAGUGUGCUUACAUAGGUGCUCUAUAUUCACAGCCGUGCUGUGUUCGUAAGCUCUACUGUCUUGAAGUAUAAUGUAAACGUCAAAGCUCGAGCAGUAGUUAUUGUACUGUUGCUAGGAUACGGACUUACAAGUUCUUUGGUGGUCACGUGCUAUGUGCAUCGCCAUUUGCAAUCGAGCGAUAUAAACUGCUAUUCUCAAGAUAGGCUUUAUUUCUGAUGAAAUUCUGGAACUGCUUACCGUGACUCCGUUCGCCUCGAUAGGUGUUACGCGAGCUUGCAUUGUAAAGAUUUACUUCGUGAGCCCAGUAGCCGGCACCUCACUGUUUUCAGAACGCAGUGCCGUUCCUCUCGCGUCGUCACCAGCGCAUUUUCCUCUUCUUUUAAUUUCCAUUGCGUUUUACUGUAUACUGCACAGCAUAGCAUGCUUACAGUAAAGUUUAGUUCACCCCAGACGUUCUCCAACCUUUCACGCGAACCACCGCAGGCGAUUGCCUCGCUGCUUCUCCGCUGCUCUGCCGCAAAAGAGGAAUUUCAAGCGAAUGUUAUUUGCAGCUCGCCUGUACCCACAAGGCGUGAUUCGCGUUUUGGGCCGGCAUGAAGUGUGUUUGCCGACGUGUGUGAGAAAUUUAGAUAGAUUUGCUUUCCUUUUUUCUAUUGAUGGUUAUAACAAUGCACAUUGUUCUCAAAGAAACCGACAUGUGUAAAUUUGGUGGCAAAGGGCUUAUUAUUCACCACUUGAAGCGGGGUGUUAUUUUCUUAUGCGCUCGCAGCUGUGUGCUGUGUAGCGUCCCGCCCGUCGUCCCGCAAAGGACAAAAACAAGAGCAGCAGCCGGAAAGUCGGAGCAGAGCAGAAGGCAGAAGUGGCUGGAGUGAGUGUGAUUACUGUUCCUAGGACACAUUAGUUUCGGAAAACGUUACGGAAAACGUACCGGAGGGACAGAUGGAACAAAGAUGGACAAACACUGGCAAACAAAUGGGUAAAGUUAGGGUGCAGGUUCUUAUCUCAACAUACUCUGUGCCCUUUUCUAGGUUUUGUCAUCUAAAAGGAAUCGCAGAGCACUCGCUGUGGUGGAGUGCACUGCUAUAGUGCACUGACUAAAAAGACUCAAGUACUCUGAGAUGCUUCGCUUACAUUGCCGAGCUCUAAAGAGGUAUGAUGAGAUAUGAAAGGUGACCGAUAACCAUUGGUCACUGCAGUGCCUCGAUCAUAGUAGGAAAAGAGGCUGCUCUUCGUUAGACUUUCACUGCUGCGUCCAAGCGCUAAGCAUGUACGUCCACUCCUGUUCAGGCCCCUACAUGGGAGCUCUCAGUAUAUCUGAAAAAAAAAAAAUUAAACGUAAUUGUCAUAUGUAGAAUACAGAUCAGUAAAUGCAAUCGUUACCUUGCAACUGUUACAGCAUGAUCUUGGAGAAUAUUGAAGCUGUACGACAACAUUAACUGAUAUGACCAAGGUACUAGGCCAAUUAUUGUUGCGACUGGUUAAAUCUAAUCGUGGAAACAUGUUGUCUAUCACAUUUUCUCACUUGUGCUUGAGACACACCUGUCAAUUAGCCACCUCAGCAUUUUUUACUGCUUCUCCAAGCCCUAUUGCUGGGUGAUAAUUCUCUUGAACUUUUUGUAAGUGUGUGCAACCUUAUUCACGAUAUUGGUUGUCUGAAGGUUACAUUACACGCAUUCCUUUGAGGCAUUUUAUGCAUGCCAUUGUGUACAUGUAAUCCACCGAAAGCAUUUCAGAUUUUUUACAUUAUAUAUUACAUGAUAUGAAUUGAAAGCAGGACUGAGAGGGCAAGCCCAAGUAUAAAUAAAGAGUGAAGAAAAGAAAGGUGAUUGCUGCUCUUGUCACAACCUUUUCCUUUUUUUUUUUUUUUUUUGACAGGUGACAGGUUUUUCUUUUAGAUUGUAACUGCAAUUUCAUAUCACAUGUAUUGAAACCAUUUUGGAACUGGGUAUAGCUUUUCUGAAUCAGUUUGCACUGGUAUAAGUGACCACUGGAUCACUUAUUAUCUUCAUCAGUCAUCUUCAUCAACAGUAACAUGUCACUAUUUAGCCCCAAAAGUGAAAGCAUUUUGAAGUUGAAGGAACAUGUAGUUGAAACUGGCCACAACACCAUCUUGUAGUGGCUUGCAGACCGCAAGCAUCGUAUUCAAGCACAAUGAGGCGUGCACAUAGAAUGGAGUGGAGUGCACCUCAGACAUAUUCUGCUUGUGGUACAGCUUGGGGCAAAAGUGUACAGAACACCGGGUUGUCGCAUUUCUCCAUUGGAGCGACACCCUAUAGCAGCAAACAAGAGUGGACACACAUACUGAGAGAUGGAUGAAAUAGCCUGUGACUCCUCUCUUAUUCGAUCUCUUUCUGAGAGCCAGCGGGGGCCCACUCCGAUGAAAAAAUAUGCCAGUGCCGUGUUUUGUAAACUUCUGUCCCAAGCUGUACAUACACUACUUAAAGGCAGGAAGGCUCGUGUGAUCUUUUCCUUGAGAAUGAGUCACUGCUUUACGAAGUAGAUGCUGGUAGCGCAAAUCAUAAUGACAAAUGACAUCACAAUGAGAAAUCGCAGACGUGCAAAGAUGUUCGUGAUCUCCCAAGCUACUGUGCAUUGUAUAUUGUGAAAAAGAGAGGGAAUGUGGAAAACACUAUCUUGGGGGUGAAUUAACAUGAAACAGUAAAGACAAAGGGACAUCCAGGACUAAAUUUGAGCUACAAAAUGUGUCCGUGUGUAAACUUUUCAAUGAAUGUCAACUGGUUGUGCUUGCAAAGCAUUCGUAGGUCAGAUGUCACAGAAGUCAUGUCAGAUGCCAUGUUAAGCACUGGUGUAGUGAAGAUUCUGACGUAGUAGUGAUGUUUUUUGGUGGUUUGACCAACAAUCAACAUAAGGAGGUGUGACCGUAACCACAUUGCUCCCUCAGCUUUGACUGAAUGUGUCCUACAGUGGACAACUACCGAACAUCAGGGCUGUCAAGUAACUGAGUAAAAGUAUCUGAGCACCUGUAUCUAGAUACAGGUGCAUUUUCAUGUGCAUACUUUGUAUCUGUAACUAGUUACUUUUUUUAAAUAUACUUUUAUAUCCUCUUUUUGAGUGUUUUCCUAGAUACUUACAAAAAAAAAAAAAAAAAUGCUAACCAACAAUCUAUAUGAACAUGUGGCGCAGCAUCUGGUGGAGUUCUUCCGGGAGGUUGCCUGGGUGCGAACCCUGGAACCGGCUAUGCUGCCUGGUAUUUACCCUGGGAUUUUGGUGUAAGGCAACUGUAGGCACAGUUUCCUAUGAAGUCAGCCAUGUAUGCAUAGUCUCUCACAACCAACAUGGUCAUAUUGUCACACACAUUGUGUGGCAAUAAACGCCACCAACCAACCCAUGUCACCUGAUAUCCUGCUAUCUUAUGUUGGCAGCACUCAUGGUGCAUAAAUGCGAGGGACAUACAGGGGCUGCGGAUGCUAAUUGUAGAGGCACAAAGCUUAAACGAAGUUAACAUGGUGUGCAAGCUUACACACUAGUAUUACUAAACAUCAUGGACUGGGGGUUGGGUGGAAGCUGAAGUUCACAGGUUUUCAGUGUCAUUGUUUACUUUAGUGUUUAUCUACUCAUUGUUUUGGUGGUAAAAUAUUGCCACCAUUAGUCACUGAGAUGGUGUAGCAUAUUUAGAAAUUUUUAUAACCAUUCAUAUGCAAAUAAGAAAUAUGUUAUUCAAUACACCUGCUGGCCAGAUGUUUCUCAUUUACUUCAAUUUUCGAGGAGACUGAGGAAAGCGUCUUUAAAAGUAUGCGAGUACUGUUUAUAAAGCAACUAAAUCAGCAUAUUUUUUUUCGAUGGGAUAUCUGUAAUUGCAACUUCGAUAUAGUUUUGGCACCUGUAACUCAGUAUGUAUACCUGUAACUCAGGUACAUUUUAAAACUAACAAACAAUCCUGCAAAACACAGUGUUUCAGCAUACAACACAAGAACUGAGAACCAGCGAACCGCACUGAACUAAAAACUAAUAUUAAUUGACAGAAGUGCGAUACGUAUCGAGCCAACAAACCUUAUCGUAGGAAUUUUUCACAUAGGUAACCCCUGGUAAUCACUGUUAACCCUUCAAUGUGCUCAGCUGUUACCAGCGAUAUAUAUAUAUUUUUUGUCCAAUACCAGAUAUACACAUCGGCAGCUCCUGCACAAAUCCUUACCUCGAGACAAAGCGAGGUUUAGCAAUGUCCCACUCCACUUUCCGUUUUGACGGCAAACCUUCACCAAUGUUUAGCAGUGGGUGACAACCACAUCCCUUGUAGCAUACAAAGAGGUGACCCCAUGGUGUGCAUUGAGGUAAUGUGGCAUGCUCUCGUAGCCUGAUAUUGAGCUUGGCACUGUUAGAACUAAUACUGAAGUAUCAUCUGGUACGUAUGCCCUUUACAAACGUGUUCACAGCUAAAAGAAAUAUUGUAUACCGGUGCUUCCCAAAACCUGCAACCCAUUAAAAACAAAAUACCUAUAGUGUACCACCCCCGCCCUUUCUCAAUGCCACAAGCUUUUCGAUUUAAGUGCGUGACCUGUAAUACACAAAAUUGACGCUUAAGUCAGAGUGAAUCCGCUGGGCAGCAAACAAUCCCAAAAACUUAAAAAAAGAAAAGCAAGCACACACACACACACAUGCCAGCUGGAAUGCCUGUUCCUUUGACUAGAGUGAGCUUGUUGGUUAGAGCACAGUUUGUCAAAACGAGAGUCGAUUUUGAUCACAGCAACUCUCAGUUGUUUCGGCUCCAUGUUCAGCUGCAACUUGUACUGCUUGUACUGCAACUUCUACUUGAGGCAAAAGGAAGAAGGACCUUAUGACCUCAGUAUUGAAGAGUGCAUACUUUUCUGCUAACCCUGUCCAUAAUUCAAGGAACUGUUCAGCAGAACUUCGGCAGAAACCGUUGCUAUUCCCUUUUUCAAGUUCCCGAGCCGCCUGGAAACAUCACGGUUUGUACCAAGUCAGUAAAGUUAGUCAGAGUAAUAGAGCCAAAUUUCUCCCCAAAUUUAGCAUACUAGAAGUUUUUCCACCCGAAUAGACCUCUACCUGUUUACAAACAAAUGACGUCAGAUGAUACAGCAGCACCACCAACUUGGUAGACUGGAACUACUACGUCAAAAAAUCAACAAGUCACAAUAAGUCAUAUAACUCAAUAGAAGUCAUAUUGUAAGAUUUUUUAAAAAUUCCUUACAUAUUAUUAGUUGUAUGGCCUUGACAGAAUGGCGUAAAUGCAGGCUAGCUGGUGGAGAAAUUCCUUAGUGUUUGUGUUUGUUUACGUGUCUUGCCCAUCGCUCAGGCUUGCCUAUCAUGGCAUUGUAUGGCCUUGUUCUGGUACAUUCUACCGGUGACCCGUAGCCCUAUUCUUUUCAGUAGCCCUUUCUAAAGAUGACUCUCGGGCUCUUCCAUCUUCUGGAGCAACAAACCACAUUCUGCACAGGAUUACGACAUUGACUUUCCGACGAUGCAACCCUUAGGGUGAAGCCUUUCCUUUCCGCGCUGGACUGGGAACGCGAAUGAAGACACAAAAGCGAAUAAAAAUGUGACCUCA